AGCGACCCUCUCAUCUCAGCCUCCUGAGUAGCUGGGGUUACAGAGCUCUGUUCUGACAACUUGCAAUUGAUCCAACAUUUGAAACCUUAUGAAGGAGCCAGACAGCUUGGUUUUGAAUUAUAAUCUUACAAAUUACUGGCUGUGUGACUUUGUUUUUAAUUCCAGCAGAAACUGUGGCCUCUUCUGAGUGUGGCCUUUGAAUUCACCAAGGCUCAGCUAGAUUCGCUCUCAGUAACCCAGGAGAAACUGGCACUUUAAAUAACUAAAAGAAACAAAAUCUUCAACUCACCUGCGUGCAUGGAAGCCGUUUUUCUCCUGUUAAGCUGACAUGUCUGCGAGUUGACAGGCCUAUCAUUCAGCGCCUCAGACACUUCAAAGACCUCUCACAACUUGAGGAACGUCUGAAAAUUGUUAAUGUGAACGUCAGGAUGUCUAGUUUUACUAAGAAUUGGUCAUAUCAUUUAUGUAAUCAUCCUGGGACUGUUCUACUGCUGAAAACAGCAAAAUGUUCAAAUGAUAUGAAGUGGGGCUGAACCACGGAAUACAUGUGAUUUCCCAUUCUUUAAAAAAACUACCAAAAUAAAUUUUGAC